rnacentral:rRNA from 1 species
CUCGUGUCGUGAGAUGUUGGGUUAAGUCCCGCAACGAGCGCAACCCUCGACCUUAGUUGCCAGCGAGUCAAGUCGGGCACUCUAAGGUGACUGCCGGCUAAAAGUCGGAGGAAGGUGGGGAUGACGUCAAAUCAUCAUGCCCCUUAUGACCUGGGCUACACACGUGCUACAAUGGGCGGUACAAAGGGUCGCGAACCCGCGAGGGGGAGCCAAUCCCAAAAAGCCGCUCUCAGUUCGGAUUGCAGGCUGCAACUCGCCUGCAUGAAGCCGGAAUCGCUAGUAAUCGCGGAUCAGCAUGCCGCGGUGAAUACGUUCCCGGGCCUU